rnacentral:rRNA from 1 species
AACGAACGCUGGCGGCAGGCCUAACACAUGCAAGUCGAGCGAGGACUUCGGUUCUAGCGGCGGACGGGUGAGUAACGCGUGGGAAUGUGCCCUUCUCUACGGAAUAGCCCUGGGAAACUGGGAGUAAUACCGUAUACGCCCUAUUGGGGAAAGAUUUAUCGGAGAAGGAUCAGCCCGCGUUGGAUUAGGUAGUUGGUGGGGUAAUGGCCUACCAAGCCGACGAUCCAUAGCUGGUUUGAGAGGAUGAUCAGCCACACUGGGACUGAGACACGGCCCAGACCCCUACGGAAGGCGCCAGGGGGGAAUGUUAAAAAAGGGGGCCAACCCUUAUCUACCCUUGCCGCGUGAGUAAUGAGGCCCUUGGGGUUGAAAACCUCUUCCGGCGGGGAAGAUAAGGAGGGACCCAAAAAAAAAACCCCCGGCUACCCCCGUC